CUCAUCCUGUGUAAAACACUGGUCCGUAGCAAAUCUUUCCCAUAACCCUGUGAGGUAGGCCGUUGAGGCUGAGAGGAAAGGGGGUUGUAUUUGGUCAUCCAGUGAGUCCACGGUUGAGGAAGGAUAUGAACCUGAUUUCUGCCACCUCCACCUCCCAAUGCUGUCAAAUGGAGUUACAUGUUUGCAUAAUUAAUGUAAUGCCUAUAAGUUUAUCUGGGUUGCAGGGAGGUUGGGCUGAACUUGGCUUCUUUGGCAUGGAGUAGGAACCGUACCCAUCUAGAACAUUCAAUACAAGCACACGGAUUCUUAAGUAGAAUUAUUAUUGCUAGUCCCCUCCCUUCCCCAAGGGGUUACUCAGCAGGAAGACGUGGGGCAAAAAUCAUAACAGUUUGUCAAUUGUAUCUAUGCACAGAGAGAGGGUUGCCUCUUUGUAAAAAUGGGGAUUUCCAAAGGAAAAGAAAUUCAGUUUCAUAUAGAUUCUUUAUGUAAAACUUUUCUGAUAAAUGAUAUGUGCGUGCGCGCAUGGUUUCUCUUUUGUGUUGGUCUCCUUGGAGGUCUUGAAACUUUUAUUUUAUUUUUUUUGUGUGUGUUGUAUUUAUGUUUAGCUGCUUUAUAUAUUGUAAGAGGCAUAUUUUUGGAGAAUAGUGGCACUUAGAAGAAAGGGAAAUCUUGUUUUGGAGAGUGGGAAUAAUUUCUUCCUGUGUUUGAGGAAGUUUAGAGGGAAAUUUUUCCUUAUAGCAUCCAAAGUCAGUUAUUGUUUCAUUUGGCACUUUAAAUGCUAAAUUAACACACCUCUCUCUUCCUGGCAACCGUGUUGCUAUAGUUCAUAUAUAGUGCAGUAUGAUAACGGUCCAAAAGCACAGAGAAUAACUGAAUGAUCAGUGAAGCAAAAGUUUGAACUAUUUUGCUGUUCACUAGGGGAACGCGGGACAAAUCAGGGUCCAUGUGAGGUCAAGUAUGGAUAAGGUUUCUCUGAUGAUGGGCCGGGUUGUGGCUUGAAGCACUUUGGAUUUUAUUUACAGGUAAAUUGAUUCUUCUCUAUAUUGUUUUAUGGAACGUUUUUAUACUGCACUCCCAUUUCAGAGCUUUCGUCUAGUUCGCCACCAUGGGUCUAGUUUGAUCAGGACAUACGCAGAUGUAUUUUGCUGACUGCGAGCCAGACAACAUGGGAUGUAAGUGAUCCAGACCCCCAGAUGUGCAAUUUAGCCUCAGAAAGCAAUUGAUAGGGCGCUGAGAUAGAUUAAAGUUUCAAAACCGUGCAAGUUAUUUUAAUAGCUGCCACCCCCUCAGUUUCCUCAAUCAAAACUGCCCCUUUCCUGGACUGCUUUUAAGGGGUGGGGGGAUCAAGUACCAGUAUUGAGCCUGUUUUUUUUUUCUUCCACUGACAGCAGCCUGGAGUGGAGGGGGGCAGUUUGGAUUGAGGAAGCAGCUUGGUAAUGGGAAAGCUAGAUUUCUCCCUUUCCCAUCAUCACAGCUCUGACCUGUAUCUUCUACCCAGCCUGUAUCUCUGACCUGUAUCUUCUACCCCAUAGUUGCUUUGUGAUUAUGUCCCAAGAGGAUUUAAUCAUGAGUAUCCAGCUCACACUUGAGGCUACAAAUUGAGGUGGAGUUUGAGCCCAAACCUCCCCAGUCAGUUGGGACCUGUACCUGCUCUGAGGGCUGUUUUCAAGCAUAUCGAAGUUCCUGCCCAACAGUUACUUCCAGUGCUGGGAUCCAAAAAUUUUAAUAACAGGUUCCGAUGGUGGUGGGAUUCAAACAGUGGCGCCGCCGCACACACGCACCUCCAGUCCCUAUCCGGCAGGGAGGUUGCUUUAGUAACCCCUUCUCGGCACUCAGAAAAAAUUAGUAACCACUUCUAGAGAAGUGGUGAGAACUGGCUGGAUCCCAGCUCUGGUUACUUCUGCAUCGAAGUUUCUAGAAUUUCACUGCCCCCAUGGAGUCAAGCCUAAUUACUAAAAUGCCCGAUGCUUCCUCACUUGGGAAGCUGCCUUGUUGGAUCAGGUUUUGAGAGGCCGGCCAUCAAGCCAGGCCCGGAUUUGUUGCUGCUGUUUGAAUUUCAGUUCAAAUCAAGUCACAUUUGUGAAACGGUAGUGCACUUUGCAACUGGGUUUUACUGUGUGAAAUGGCAAAAUCCACUUGCAAACAAUUAUAGACGGAGAGUACAUUAUUCAGCACAUGGGCAGGUUCUAGUUAUCUCCUGCCAAGGCCAACAAGUCUAGAUUUCAGCUUAUGUUAGAAAGAAUCUUCUAAGGAUGAAAUGGGCUUCCAGUGAAUCAAAACAAAACAAACACCAUUUGUUUUAUGUCUUAAGGGUAACAAAAUUAAAUGAGGAUGAACAAUGCCAUUCAUUUAGUUCAUUUCCAGGAUGUUACAUUUAGUAGCCUAACAUCUCCUUGUAUUACCUGUAAAACUGGACCUUCUCCUGAUCUGUUUGAAAGUAGACUGAGAGGAUCCUUUGGGUGAGGGGAAAAGUUCUGGCACCUCCUUUCAGACACUGAUACCCCUCAUCUCUGCUGAGCCGCCUCCAGGAAAGAUCCAGACGGCACGGGGAGGCAGCGAAAAGAAGAAACCCCAGCCUCUGCUGGAGGAUCCUCCAUAGGCCAAAAUGGACUUACGCUACCUUUUUGGGUAGCUUAAGUCCAACUCCUGCACUGGGGACAUUCCUGGGCCAAAACCCUGGUGGAAGCCGACUGAGGUUGGCUGUACCCCUGGGAAUGUCCCUAGCGCACCCGCAGCUGUGCCAGCCACCAGGUUUAAGCUGGUUCAGCUCUGGGGCUGGAGGCCACUUUCAGAUCAGGCACUGUGGAGCUCUGUGGCACUAGCCCACCUCCCUGUUGGUAUGAGUGCCACUUAUGCUGGCGGGGGGUGGGGGGAGCCUUUCGCCAACUCCAGCUCCAACAGCUGAUCCCCCCCGCCCGACUGGGCUGCCAGGGUCCCGGUUAUUCUGCAGAUGGUGGCAUGAUUAUGUAGUGCAUUGGAACUGUUUAUAUAUUUAUUUUUCCAGCUUGGAAGUGGGGAAGGGGCAGAAUGAAUGUGUUAUAAAUAGAGUGGUGUGGGGUAGUCUGAUACAGCUGUAAAUUGAUGCAUAUACAUUCACCGUGAGUUGGGCUUUCUGUUGAAAAAUAAGAUCCACACGCACAUUUUUUUCAUGGAAGUGAAUUUGCAGUCGGGUGUUCUGUCGUAUGUGAAGCAGAGUCUUUCCACAGCAGAUAGUGUGAAGGACCAACCCAGGUUUUCUUGGGAUGUGGCAUUUCCAGCCUUGCUUUCAAUUUGCUUCUGUUCUAGGGCAGGGGCAGGGCUUGUGAGGAAACAAUGUUAACCUCAGACCCGCCUGCAUUGCAUGAAUGCGAAAGGAGAAUCCCUCACCUCCACAGGUGGCCCUCGGGACAAAGGUGAUACCUUCUGGAAAUGGCCACCAGGAGGAACAUCUUCACUCAGUCCUGUUAAUGGAUCUUCCCACAUGCUGGUAGCUAGCUGCUGCUUCAUCUCCGCAGGGAUGGCAUCAUCUCUGUGCUGUGGUUACACAGACAGUUGCGUUUAGCAAUCCCUUGUGUGGGUGGGAUACCAGAAGUAGGGUACAAACUGUGUCCCUUGGUUUUCAGGGAAAUCCUGCACCACUGUGCAGUAAUGGUCAGGCAGCCGUACCGUGCAUUUGCUUCCCUUUAUCGCUAAACCCUAAAGCUUGAGUGUAUCGGUGCAAAACUGACUGAUGCUGCUGUAAAGUUUGCUAUUCUUUAUUUACGGUGUGUUUUUGUAAAUAGGGGAUAACUAUUAUUAACUAUUAUUAUUAUUAUGUUUUAAUGAGAGGAUGUUUUUGUAUAGCUGCUGGGGCAUUUUACUGUAUAUAAAGCCAAAUUCUAAAGUAUUGCCUUCCUUGUGAUCCCCUCCCCUGCUCAGCCCCAAGAGAGCCCUAUGAUGUAGCCUGUCGAAUCUGUAGAAACCGCCUCUUCCUCCAGAAAUCAUCUCCUUUCCAUUUAUUUUUUUCUCUCUGCUUGAGCAAAUACUUGUUGAUGUAUCCAACAAAGUAUGGAAGUUAUUGUGUAUUUUUGUGUAUGCAUACACACAAAUCCCAAUUGAACCAAGAGUAGGUAUGUACAUAAUGUCUAGUCUGAUACAAUGCAUAUUAGCUUGGAAGUCAUUCAUCUGAGCUCAAUGCAGCUUAUUCCCAAGUGAAUCUGCAUAGGGUUUGGAAUCAGCACUCCCCCUUGCCCUGACAACAAGAAUUUGGAUAUAUGCAUGACUAACUUUACACCUAGCAUGUGGAGAAUUUGAAGAGCCCUGUUGGCUUUUGCAUUGAAUUUGCAUUCAGAUUAUAGAGGCCCGUUAUGCAUGACAAGCUUGUUGUGAUCUCACACCACAAGGGAGUGGGCAGGGUGAAGCUACCUAGACUGGCCGUGGGUGGAGGAAAGAUGCACAGGACAAAGCUGUGCUCACUGGCAAAUCUGCCCUGCUCUGAUUGCAAAGGACAUUAAAGUCACACUACAAGUGGUCCCGUUUACCACGGGGAGAAUGCAGAAUGAAAGCGGGGCUGAAGGAAAAAUGUCUGUACAAGAAAUUUUGCUGUGAUGAAAUUUCACUCCCGCCAUGAAGCAGAACCCUCGUGUGUAAUUGGCCAGAUAGACCUUUCAUAUCUUGUCAUCGAGGACAGAUUUCCUUAAACAGCCAGCUUGUGUUUAAUGGGCAUACCUGAUGAUCAGGGUCAGUGGACAAUACAAGAUUGUAUGAAACGUGCAGUGCAAAUGCAUGCUGCAUCUAUGGUAUAUGUGGCUAACAACCCUUUCUGUAGGCAGAAAGUAAACAGGUAGACAAGUUUCAUUUUUCCAUUUCUAGAGUCUCUCUGCUGUUUCACUCCCAUCUCUCAUUGCUUAAUGUUUUUGGGUAUGAAUGCUUCCUGACAAUCGACUGUGCAACAGCCUCUGUUCUGAAUGAAUUUUGCCUGUGUUGAAAUGGAUCCAUACUGUUCUGCAGUAGAGUUUGGUGAACUGGGCCAGAUUGCUGGACUGAACUUUAGCAUUGAAUUAGACCAGGGGUAGGGAACCAAUUGGCCAUGCUGACAGAGGCUUAUGGGAACUGUAGUUCCUGAACAUCUGGAGAGCCGCAGGUUCCCUACCCCUGAAUUAGACCAUGUCAUGGCACGGUAGUGGUUGAAGUUUACAGCUUUCAAAAUGUCAGAUUUUAAGGCCCUUAAAUUAAAAUGUCAUGAACACAGAGGAGGAAACUUGGAAAUCUUACUGAGUUCCAAUAUAUGUUUAAUUCAGAGACUGUUGUGUGCAGCAGUGGGUUUUGUGCUGCAAGUGAUGCCUGCGGUGAUAACCUUGUGCUGUGGAUAGGGACCCGUUGAAGUCAAAAGACUUGGAAGGGUAUAACUCUGCCUAACUCCUGCACUGUUAGUUGCCCAGAAACAGAUGUGAAAGAACAUCACCAUCCAGUUUGCUUUGCUGAAGACCACAACAGCUCGGUUGCAGACAGACAUGCGCUCACCUUGGAUCUAAGCCAAAAGACCUGUGCUUCAGAAUGUCCUUGUUACCAAAUGCCUUAUAUUAAGAGUAGCUUUAUUUUCUGCACGUAGAGGUGGAUGCCCUAUUAGAACCAUUAGUUUGCUGCAUGUGAAUUUACAGAGAAAUUUCAUUUCGAUUUCAAAUCCAUCUCCUUUUAGCCAAAUGGGUAUUCCUUCUGAGUGCUAGAGGAGGCAAAAGAAAAAAUGCCUCUUAUAAUUUAUCCAGUAUACUGGCCAUGUCCACAUUAAAGGAUUGGCAUUUGCUGCUUUAAUCCAGGGUUGUUAACUGUGGCCAGGAUGAGUUUGGAAGCCAAAGCUUACAAGAGGGUGUUUGUAAAUGUGCAAUAGGUUUUCAAAAAGAUGUUUCUUUAUUGACACUACAAGGAGCAGACAGGCCAAAUCCAGAAGCAAGUUAAAGCCAUUGCAUUGAUUCAUACUAAUUUUAUUAAGGAUUAAGUUCCAUUUUGUCCUGUUUGUAGCUCAUGGAUUGUGUUACUGUACUAGACACUUGAGUAGAGUGGUUGUACCAUGUAAGUCUCACUCUAAAUGGGUGGGUAAGUGUGAUUGUGACUAUCAAAGUUAUCUCUAUCAACAUCUGUAGAGAGGAAUUCAUGAGGAGAGGAACUGUAUUUUCCCCCCUUUUCCCCUUUCUUUGGCAAGUGGUUGAUUAGUGCUACUUCCAGUUGCAUAGCAAGGCUGAGGGCACUCAAUCCUGGCCCCCUGGCAGGUGGGACAACUAGCACAGCUACCAUUAGCAAGCUGUGGGUUCCUCUUGCAAUUUAGGAAGCCUCAUUCUACCCUCCUAUGCCUUCUGGUCAACUGGGUGUUUGCAAAUGUAAAGCAUGCAUCUCAAAUAUCAUUAACUGCUCACUGCGAUCAGUCAUUUUUCCAUGCAACUUUAUGAUUUUAUUCUAUGGAUUGUUGAAAGGCUGACAGAAUAAAAUAUUUCCCAUUGUGGCUGAGCAAACAGUUCCUGAAUUAGUGCUAUGGGCCUUACCCAAGAUUCCAGAGACCAGUUGUAAAGAUGUUUACCAUUUGGUAUAAACAGUGGGAAGAUUAAUAAUUGUAUGGGAUUUGACUGUUGUAGACUUGAAUGUGGAUGCUUUGCUGGGCUGGGGCGUUUCUCUGAGAGAGGUGGGAAUUUAUUCUAUCAUUUCUAUUUAUUUCUAAUUUUAAUUAAAGCAGUGAAACAAUGGGUUUUACAGUGCAUUACUAAGCAGAUUGGUAAAUUUCUUGAAGACUAUGGAUUUGAAAGGGUGUAACUUUACUUAGGAUUGUAUUCUUCGUUGCUCAAAAAGCAGAUGAUCAGUUACAUAUAUUUUCCCAUUACCAAAUCCUCAAUAUUGGUGCUUUUUGAGAUGUCAGUGGGUAUACAAUUGAAGAAUAAUUGUAAAUGGUUUUUAUUGUUAAACGGAAACACAACCUUUAAUUUUUUUCAUCCUUUAUUGCUCUUAACUCUCAAAUUCAUCAGUUGAAAUUGAUUCCUAACUGGUUAAUCAAUCAGAACUUUUUUGUGGCCCUAAUAAUAAUGAAAUGUUAUUAGGAAGUAUCAGGCAAAAAAGUAGUUAUUACUGUCAUUGGGUGUUUGAUGUUUUAAUUGUAAAGAUGUUCUAAUCCAAGAGCACCUUUAUUCUUGGGAAGAUCAAAACAAACACUUAAAAACCUUGAGGUCUGAAUCCAGAAACCCCAGUUUUGGUAGCUGCCACCAGCCCUUUUGUCUAUCCAAUCAGCCAGAAGCCCAGGGGAAAGCCUACAACCUUCUGGGGGUUACAGUUAAGAAAGUCACCCCUGCAAGGUAGACUGUCUGCAGAGUGACUUUGACAAAAUUAAUUAAUCUGUUUCGUGUAGCGAUUGGGUGUCUAGGACUGGAUUUAGAUUGAAGCCACCUAAAGACAAAACAUCACAAACUAUGAUUAAAAGAUUUAAAACUGUGCAAGAACAUGAUAAAAAAAACCAUGAUCAGUGAGGAAUAAAAUAAUGAAAACCUAAAUCAAAAUAGACUAUGCUAAAAGAGCAUUGGUUCAUAAGGCAAGAUUCAAAGCAAUGCAAGUUACCAUUUCCAGCUGUGGUCCUUCAGCUUCACAAAGGCAUCAGAGAGCCAUAGACACCAAGAACACACGUCAAGAUCCAAAAUGGUGGAUCAAGGAACCACAGUGAAUGGUACGAAGAAGCACACUUUGCUAGACUGAAUAGCCAAACUUUAUAGGCAGAAUAUUUGAAUUGGUUAGGGCUCAAUGACCAAUCAAAUUUGUACCUGGUGAUCUAAGACAAUCACACAACUCUGCUGCCAGCCAGGCGACCUUAAGAGUCAGAAUAAGAUAACAAGGUAGGAUUUAUUUUGCAGCCAUAAACCCUCCCUUGUGCAAGAUGACCCAGCAAUAAUUUCUUCGGCUGAAUUAGUUGGAAUGUGACCUUGUCAACCUUGGGAGUCCAGCUUGAGACUAUAUUUUACUCCCAACUCCCUUAUCAGUUUCUAAAGGUCAGAGCUCUGCUACCUUAAAAGCACACAGCAAAGUGAAAUUCCACUCUGUUAUCUGAAUGUCGGCCUUAAAACCUGAACAAAUAAAGAAGAAGCUGUACAGUUUCUUGACAUGUAUUGGACAAAUGGGGAAUAAUUGAGAACUGCAGUUCGGAAGCCAAAUCAUGAAGUUCUGUGCUAGCUUUUAUAUACCUGCGGUGUUGGUAGAACACCAGUGACCUGUGCCAUGCAUUGUUCUAGCAGCCCCGCAAUCCUCUUGUAUUUAUUUGUGAGUCCAUCCAAGUAUGAGGAUUGUGCCACGUCUGCUUUAGUCUCAUAACCAUUGUACUCUUUUUCUUUCAAUAGGAUAGUUGAUUGAUCAAUUAAGUUAUUUCGCUAAACACACUGGGUUGGCUCCAACUAUGCCCAAACGGAAAAAGAAAUGUACUUAGCCUGGUUGCAUUUGUGGCAGUGGUAGAACAACUUCUUGUGCAACAUCUUCUUCCACGCCAGUCUUAGGUUUCUCAUAUACUCAAUGAUCUUGGGGAACUAUUCUUAGAAUGAAGAAGCUGUGUUUUGUGAAAACACAAGUGUGGAUGCCAUAAGUGUAACUUAGCACAAGAGGCUUCUUCCGUCUGUGUUUCUGAAUGUGCAAGAGCUCUAGCAUGAGAUGUUAUGCAAGAGCUCUAGCUCGAGAAAUGUGCUGGAUCUAGGCAGUAAUUUUGGCAGUUUAACAAAUGCAUUUUAGGAGUUUGCAGGCAGGCAUUGACAGAAACAACAUCCACCCGGUUAUAGGCACUUGUGUGCUCAUUAGCAGAACAGUGUGCUCAGAAGCAGGGGCCGGUCCAAACGUCGCGGGAUAAUUCCCUCCCAUAAAAACCCCUAUGUGUCUUUGCUCAGGUUCUGGGCUGUUGGUCUGAGUCUUGACUUUGGCAAGAUGAUUAAACAUACUCCUGGGUUGCAGAGAUAACAUAUAGUACCGGCUGUUAUGUCUGUUUUGUAAAUGAGGGGAGUGUUGUAACACUUGUGUGCCUGUGGGUGCAAGAUGAACUGUGGGUCUUCAUGUUGUGCCUUUCGAUGUCCAUCUUGUCUCAGGAGCACAAAUAAUGGACAAUGAUACCAUUUUGUUUUGUACACUAUGAGCUCAUUGGAACAUGUGGGUUUUCUUCAGGAACACAUCACUUACCAAACAAGAAGCCAUGAAAGAAUCUCUGCAUAUUUUUAUUGAGUAAAAUGUAUAUAUCUUUUUGUUGGCCGUUCUAUUUUUCUAAUGAUUUCCUCAAGAGUUUCUUACUGUUGUGAUACAAUUAUUCAGCUCCUGGUGAUGACUUUGCAAAUCCUGUUGUUAUUUUAUCCCUCUCCGAUUUCAGUGGAGGGUUGUUUUGUUAGCUUGUGAUCUCCCCUUCCCUUAUUCACUCUCUAUAUGUUGUUUUUUAAAAAUAUGAAACCUAUACCUAGGAACAAUGCUGUAAAUAUGUCUCCAUCUUGGACAGUGUGGUUUUCGACUUUGAGAAACAACUUGUUAAUAUGUGAUAUAUCUGUAAAAAUGUGUCCAUGAAAUUAAAAUAAAUGAUGUCACUUUCA